GACAUAAACUGGCAUGUUCUGAAAGAAUCACUCUGGAUGCUGUGUGGAGAAAACACUGAAAAGAAUUCUAGAGUGAAAGUUUCAUGAAUAUAAGAAGCAAGACAAGGAAGUGGCUUAUGCUUAAGGCCUUAAAGGCAACCACUGUGACAAUCCAGCCAUUCUCUGGAGAAUUCAGCAGAAAGCCAGUUGGAAACACUAUCCUCAGAAAUUAGAUUUGAAAAAUGAGCUUCAUUUUCGAAGAACAUAUUGAAUUUGUUAUCUCGAUUAUGGAGGGCGACAAGUCCCACAGUCUGCCAUCUGCAGGAUGGAGAACCAGUCUGUUUCCUUCUUCUCCAUUCCACAUAUUAUAAUGUGGCAACUACAUAACUCAUAAUUAUAGUCUUUAUAGGGGGAGAAUAAUUGACUCCAUUCAAGUGUUCGCUCCUGUUUCAAUCAACUAUGGCUGAAGAGUGAGGAGACAUUUGGAAUAAAUAUGGCUUCUGGGGGCCCAUUCCUAUGGAUCAGCAGCUGGCUUCUGGAGGCCCAUUCCUGUGAAUCGUCGAUCUCAUAGAAGAUAAUAUUGUUAGAAGGCUUACCUCAUUGAUGCUGAACAUCCUAAAAAGCUUCUGCUGCUUUGAGUCACUGAAAAAGACCAAGAAACAUGAAUUUAAAAAAAAAUUUCAAAUGUUAUAAAAUAAAUAAUAUGAACUCA
rnacentral:lncRNA from 1 species